rnacentral:rRNA from 1 species
AUACGGAGGAUCCGAGCGUUAUCCGGUUUUAUUGGGUUUAAAGGGAGCGUAGAUGGAUGGUUAAGUCAGUUGUGAAAGUUUGCGGCUCAACCGUAAAAUUGCAGUUGAUACUGGAUAUCUUGAGUGCCGUUGAGGCAGGGGGGAUUAGUGGGGUUGCGGUGAAAUGCUUAGAUAUCACGAAGAAAUCCGAUUGCGAAGGCAGCCUGCUAAGCUGCAACUGACAUUGAGGCUCGAAAGUGUGGGUAUCAAACAGGAUUAGAUACCCUGGUAGUCCACACGGUAAGCGAUGAAUACUCGCUGUUUGCGAUAUACGGCAAGCGGCCAAGCGAAAGCGUUAAGUAUUCCACCUGGGGAGUACGCCGGCAACGGUGAAACUCAAAUGAAUUGGCGGG